AAGUCGUAACAAGGUCUCCGUUGGUGAACCAGCGGAGGGAUCAUUACAGAGUUGCAAAACUCCAACAAACCAUCGCGAAUCUUACCCGUACGGUUGCCUCGGCGCUGGCGGUCCGGAAGGCCCUCGGGCCCCCCGGAUCCUCGGGUCUCCCGCUCGCGGGAGGCUGCCCGCCGGAGUGCCGAAACCAAACUCUUGAUAUUUUAUGUCUCUCUGAGUAAACUUUUAAAUAAGUCAAAACUUUCAACAACGGAUCUCUUGGUUCUG
rnacentral:misc_RNA from 2 species